rnacentral:rRNA from 1 species
AAAUUCCUUGUCGGGUAAGUUCCGACCUGCACGAAUGGCGUAACGAUCUCCACACUGUCUCGGCCAGAGACUCGGUGAAAUUGCAGUCGCGGUGAAAAUUCCGUGUACCCGCAGAAAGACGGAAAGACCCUGUGCACCUUUACUAUAGCUUGACAUUGGAUUUUGGGCCUGCAUGUGUAGGAUAGGUGGGAGGCUGUGAACCCUGUACGCCAGUAUGGGGGGAGCCAUCCUUGAAAUACCACCCUUGCAUGUUUAAGAUCCUAACUUCUUCCGGUUAUCCCGGAGAAAGACAGUGUCUGGCGGGUAGUUUGACUGGGGCGGUCGCCUCCUAAAGUGUAACGGAGGCAUGCAAAGGUUCCCUCAGCCUGAUCGGAAACCAGGCGCUGAGUGCAAACGCAUAAGGGAGCUUGACUGUAAGAGAGACAUCUCGAACAGGAACGAAAGUUGGCGUUAGUGAUCCGGUGGUCCCGAAUGGAAGGGCCAUCGCUCAUUGGAUAAAAGGUACGCCGGGGAUAACAGGCUGAUCGCAUCCAAGAGUUCACAUCGACGAUGCGGUUUGGCACCUCGAUGUCGGCUCAUCACAUCCUGGGGCUGAAGCAGGUCCCAAGGGUACGGCUGUUCGCCGUUUAAAGUGGUACGCGAGCUGGGUUUAAAACGUCGUGAGACAGUUUGGUCCCUAUCUUCUGUGGGCGAAGGAGAAUUGAGAGGGCCUGUCCCUAGUACGAGAGGACCGGGAUGGACGCACCCCUGGUGAUCCUGUUGUCGCGCCAGCGGCAUAGCAGGGUAGCUAUGUGCGGAAGGGAUAACCGCUGAAAGCAUCUAAGCGGGAAGCCUGCCUCAAGAUAAGUUCUCCCCUCGAAAGAGCUGAAGGGCCCGGGUAGACUACCCGGUCGAUAGGCUGGAGGUGUAAGCGCGGCGACGUGCUCAGCUGACCAGUACUAAUAGCCCGAGCGGCUUAUUUUU